GACCUCAACUCAUGUGUGAC
rnacentral:rRNA from 3 species